rnacentral:rRNA from 1 species
UACAGAGGGCCCAAGCGUUGUUCGGAUUUAUUGGGCGUAAAGGGUGCGUAGGCGGCGCGGUAAGUCGGGCGUGAAAUCUCGGGGCUUAACUCCGAAACUGCAUUCGAUACUGCCGUGCUUGAGGACUGGAGAGGAGACUGGAAUUUACGGUGUAGCGGUGAAAUGCGUAGAUAUCGUAAGGAAGACCAGUGGCGAAGGCGGGUCUCUGGACAGUUCCUGACGCUGAGGCACGAAGGCCAGGGGAGCAAACGGG